rnacentral:rRNA from 1 species
CCUACGGGUGGCAGCAGUGGGGAAUAUUGCACAAUGGGGGGAACCCUGAUGCAGCGACGCCGCGUGGGUGAAGGAGUAUUUCGGUAUGUAAAGCCCUAUUAGCAGGGAAGAACAAGGACGGUACCAGACUAAGAAGCACCGGCUAAAUACGUGCCAGCAGCCGCGGCAAACCGGAUGUUGCAAGCGUUAUCCGGAUUUACUGGGUGUAAGGGGAGCGCAGGCGGCGCGUUAAGCCUGAUGUGAAAGCCCGCGGCCCAACCGAGGGACUGCAUUGGGAACUGGCGUGCUGGAGUGCCGGAGGGGUAGGCGGAAUUCCUAGUGUAGCGGUGAAAUGCGUAGAUAUUAGGAGGAACACCAGUGGCGAAGGCGACCUACUGGACGGUAACUGACGCUGAGGCUCGAAAGCGUGGGGAGCAAACAGGAUUAGAUACCCCUGUAGUC